UCAGGCCUAACACAUGCAAGUCAAACGACAAAUUUUUUUGUAGUGGCGGACGGGUGAGUAACACGUAAGAACCUGCCUUUAGGAGGGGGAUACCAUCUGGGAAACUGGUGCUAAUACCCCAUAUGCUGAGAAGUGAAAAGGUAUUUAACCGCCUAGAGAGGGGCUUGCGGCUGAUUAGCUAGUUGGUAGGGUAAUGGCCUCCCAAGGCGACGAUCAGUAGCUGGUUUGAGAGGAUGAUCAGCCACACUGGGACUGAGACACGGCCCAGACUCCUACGGGAGGCAGCAGUGAGGAAUUUUCUUCAAAGGGCGAAAGCCU
rnacentral:rRNA from 1 species